CACGUAGGGUGCGAGCGUUGUCCGGAAUUAUUGGGCGUAAAGAGCUCGUAGGCGGUGUGUCGCGUCGGCCGUGAAAACCUGCAGCUUAACUGUGGGCGUGCGGUCGAUACGGGCAUCACUGGAGUUCGGCAGGGGAGACUGGAAUUCCUGGUGUAGCGGUGAAAUGCGCAGAUAUCAGGAGGAACACCCGUGGCGAAGGCGGCUC
rnacentral:rRNA from 1 species